UCUCAAUUAAUCAUUCUCUUCUCUUCUUUCUUUCAACAAAUAUCUCUUCUCUUUUCUUUUUUAAUCUUUCUUUUUUCUUUUUCUUUGAGAACUAAUUAUUUAAUUUAUUUUUUGCAUUUCUGUUUCCCAAAAAUGAAGUUUUUCUUUGGGGGGCAAAAGAAGGAACAUAUGUGAUAUGUUGUUGACAGAAGAUAGAGAGCACAGAUGAUGAUAUGCAAAAACUCAUCAUCAUUAUCAUUGUUAUCAAUACUAUUCUUUGUUUUUUAGGGUUUAGAAAUUUGGAGAGAGACAUUAUCAUUAUUAUGCAUUUCACUCCAUUUGUGCUCUCUAUGCUUCUGUCAUCACUCUCUUCACCCCUUCCUUUUAUAUAUAUCCCAUCCCUUCACUUUUAAUAAUCUACUCAUUUUUCUAAUCUCCUUUUCACCUCUAAUCACUUUUAAUUUCUUAAUCUCUUACAUAUAUAUAUAUAUGUGUAUCUAUGUAUAUAGAGGUGCAAUAACUAGUUGAGUUAAUUAUAUACAGCCCUAAGAAAUUAAAUGUGUUGAUUUUUCUAUGUUUUUAGGUGCUUUAUGCAGCAGUUCAAAUAGCUAGCUAGGGCAAGGGAUGAAAAGAACUAUUCAGAAAUAUGCAAGAUUUUAGGUCUUAGUCGUUGAGGUAUUCGUAAUUGAAUGCAGGAAAUGAAUAGAAUUAUGAUGAAGGGGUUGAAGAUAUCACAAUUAGGAAGAUGCCUAUAUGCCCAUGAGAUAUUAAAAGAGUAAAGUGAAUAUUCCUCAAAAGAGGGAAAUGAGGCUCACAAUUGCCACUUGUUUAUGAUUCAUUAUAUUUGUGGGUGAGAAAUGCCCAUUAUUAUAUUAUUCAUCUUCCCAACAUUAUAUAUAAAUAUAUAUAUUGUGUUUUUGUAAUACACCAAAAAGAUAAAAGAAAAAAUGGAGGCAAAUUAAAGGGAGGGGUUUGGAAUAAAUCCUCACCUAAAAAUGAAGCCAUUAUUGUUCAUACAUUCUCAUAGAUUAUUAUUCCAUUUGUACUAUUUUCAGUGUACAUUCCAUAAAUAAAUUAUCUUCUUCUGAUCUCUUCC